rnacentral:rRNA from 1 species
GAUGAACGCUGGCGGCAUGCCUAAUACAUGCAAGUCGAGCGAACAGACGAGGAUCUUGCUCCUCUGACGUUAGCGGCGGACGGGUGAGUCACACGUGGAUAACCUACCUAUAAGACUGGGAUAACUUCGGGAAACCGGAGCUCAUACCGGAUCAUAUAUUGAACCGCAUGGUUCAAUAGUGAAAGACGGUUUUGCUGUCACUUAUAGAUGGAUCCGCGCCGCAUUAGCUAGUUGGUAAGGUAACGGCUUACCAAGGCGACGAUGCGUAGCCGACCUGAGAGGGUGAUCGGCCACACUGGAACUGAGACACGGUCCAGACUCCUACGGGAGGCAGCAGUAGGGAAUAUUCCGCAAUGGGCGAAAGCCUGACGGAGCAACGCCGCGUGAGUGAUGAAGGUCUUCGGAUCGUAAAACUCUUUUAGUAGGGAAGAACAAAUGUGUAAGUAACUAUGCACGUCUUGACGGUACCUAAUCAGAAAGCCACGGCUAACUUCGUG